AACGAACGCUGGCGGCGCGCUUAACACAUGCAAGUCGAACGGGCAUGGGGGCUUCGGCCUCGAUGUCAGUGGCGGACGGGUGAGUAACGCGUGGGAACCUGCCCCAAGGUCUGGGACAACCGCGGGAAACUGCGGCUAAUACCGGAUGAACCCCCGGGCUUGACCCGGGGGCAAAGCUUGAUGUGCCUUGGGAUGGGCCCGCGUCCGAUUAGCUAGUUGGUGGGGUAAUGGCCUACCAAGGCAUCGAUCGGUAGCUGGUCUGAGAGGACGAUCAGCCACACUGGGACUGAGACACGGCCCAGACUCCUACGGGAGGCAGCAGUGGGGAAUCUUGGACAAUGGGCGCAAGCCUGAUCCAGCGACGCCGCGUGGGUGAUGAAGGCCUUCGGGUUGUAAAGCCCUUUCACCGGGGACGAUGAUGACGGUACCCGGCGAAGAAGCACCGGCUAACUCCGUGCCAGCAGCCGCCGUAAAAC
rnacentral:rRNA from 1 species